CUAAGGUUUCUUGGGGAAGGUUCGUCCGCCCAAGGUUAGUCGGGAGCUAAGCUCAGGCCGAAAGGCGUAGGCGAUGCACAUACGGUAGAAAUUCCGUAACCACCGAACAUUUAAGCUAGAGGGACGCUUUCUUUAAGGUUAUCCCGGGCGAUGGUUGCCCCGGGCGUAAGGGACCGAAAUAUAGUAGGGAAGUAACUGGCGAGAGAGACGAGAAAAGCUCUAGUGUAUACUAAGGUGCCCGUACCGCAAACCGACACAGGUAGAUGGGAUGAGUAUUCUAAGGCCAACGGGAGAAGGGUUGUUAAGGAACUCGGCAAAUUGGCCCCGUAACUUCGGGAUAAGGGGCGCCUGCGAGAGCAGGCCGCAGUGAAAAGGCCCAAGCGACUGUUUAGCAAAAACACAGCUCUCUGCUAAAUCGAAAGAUGACGUAUAGGGGGUGACGCCUGCCCGGUGCUGGAAGGUUAAGGGGAGUGCUUAGCGCAAGCGAAGGUGCGAACUUAAGCCCCAGUAAACGGCGGCCGUAACUAUAACGGUCCUAAGGUAGCGAAAUUCCUUGUCAGGUAAGUUCUGACCCGCACGAAUGGCGUAAUGAUUUGGGCACUGUCUCAACAGCCCGCCCGGCGAAAUUGUAGUACCGGUGAAGAUGCCGGUUUCCCGCAACUAGACGGAAAGACCCCAUGGAGCUUCACUGUAGCUUGAUAUUGGAUCUCGGUAUUCCAUGUACAGGAUAGGUGGGAGGCUAGGAAGCGAGCGCGCCAGCGUUCGUGGAGCCAACCUUGGGAUACCACUCUUGGGAUAUUGGGAUUCUAACCUGCGACCAUGAAUCUGGUCGGGGGACACUGUCAGGUGGGCAGUUUGACUGGGGCGGUCGCCUCCAAAAGAGUAACGGAGGCGCUCAAAGGUUCGUUCAGCACGGAUGGAAAUCGUGCACUGAGUGUAAACGCAUAAACGAGCCUAACUGCGAGAAUGACGGUUCGAGCAGUAACGAAAGUUGGAGUUAGUGAUCCGGCGGUAUGUGAAUGGAAAUGCCGUCGCUCAACGGAUAAAAGCUACCCUGGGGAUAACAGGCUGAUCUCCCCCAAGAGUCCACAUCGACGGGGAGGUUUGGCACCUCGAUGUCGGCUCAUCGCAUCCUGGGGCUGAAUUCGGUCCCAAGGGUUUGGCUGUUCGCCAAUUAAAGCGGUACGCGAGCUGGGUUCAGAACGUCGUGAGACAGUUCGGUCCCUAUCUGUUGCGGGCGCAGGAAUAUUGAGAGGAGCUGUCCUUAGUACGAGAGGACCGGGAUGGACGUACCGCUGGUGCACCAGUUGUUCUGCCAAGGGCAUAGCUGGGUAGCUAAGUACGGACGAGAUAAACGCUGAAGGCAUCUAAGCGUGAAACUCCCCUCGAGAUAAGUGUUCCCAUCCUUCGGGAGUAAGGCCCCUUGUAGACUACAAGGUUGAUAGGUCAGGAGUGGAAGUGCAGUAAUGUAUGGAGCGGACUGAUACUAAUAGGCCGAGGGCUUGACCUU
rnacentral:rRNA from 1 species